GAGACUCUGUGCGCGUGCAUAUCAAUAAGCGGAGGAAAAGAAACUAACUAGGAUUCCCUUAGUAACGGCGAGUGAAGCGGGAAGAGCUCAAAUUUGAAAUCUUCAAGGUUCUACCUUGACGAAUUGUAGUUUAAAGAAGUGUUUUCUGUUGGAGUUUUGGUAAAAGUUCUUUGGAAUAGGACAUCAUAGAGGGUGAGAAUCCCGUAUUUGACCGUUACUUUCCAGCUGUGUGAUACACUUUCAAAGAGUCGGAUUGUUUAGGAAUGCAGUCCAAGAUGGGUGGUAAAUUUCAUCUAAAGCUAAAUAUUGGCGAGAGACCGAUAGCGAACAAGUACCGUGAGGGAAAGAUGAAAAGAACUUUGAAAAGAGAGUUAAACAGUACGUGAAAUUGUCAAAAGGGAAGCGUUUGACACCAGUGUUGUUUAGUUGAGAAUCAAUUAAAUAAUUUGUGAUUUUGAGUAGUAUUGACUUUAUCAGCUUGCUGCUUUCUUUUUCAUAAAUUAUUUAAUGCACUUUUCAGUUAACAAGUCAACAUCAAUUUCUUUUGUUGUAAAAGGGUAAGAGGAAGGUGGCUUGCGCUUCGGCGUCAAGUGUUUAUAGCCUUUUACCUCUGCAAUCGGAGAGAUUGAGGACAGCAGCGUAGACUCUUCGGGGUUAGAUACACUUGUGCUAAGCUAUAGCCUUGUAUAGACAACUUGUUGACUAUGCUCAGUCAUGUAGCUUACUCGCUUGUGCUAUUUUACCUACGCUUAGGAUGUUGACAGCAGUAUAGACUGU
rnacentral:rRNA from 1 species